CUCGUAGGCGGUUCAACAAGUCGGUCGUGAAAGCCCGGGGCUCAACCCCGGGACGCCGGUCGAAACUGUUGUGACUAGGGUCCGGUAGAGGUGAGUGGAAUUCUCGGUGUAGCGGUGGAAUGCGCAGAUAUCGAGAGGAACACCAGUAGCGAAGGCGGCUCACUGGGCCGGUACCGACGCUGAGGAGCGAAAGCAUGGGGAGCAAAACAG
rnacentral:rRNA from 1 species